ensembl:lncRNA
UGAGGUUUUCAGCCACACUGUCUCUGCUGGUAAAUUUUUUCAUCUUCUCAAAAACUUUUCUUCAAUAACUAACUGCAGAUUGUAAUGUGACACUGACCACCUAUUCAAUUGUCGUAUCUGUUUUGAUCAAGGCAUUUCUGCGAUGGUAACAUUGCAGAGACUGCCAGCAGAGGCAAAAGAUACAGCUGACUGUGUAGCCAAAUUAAAUCACCUUUUUGAUGUGCUAAAUUCCAGGUAAUUAUGUAAAAAAAAAUAGCACCUUAACUUUACAAACAUACAACUUACUAACUACACCCUAUUAACUACGACCUACCUACCUUGACCCCACUAACUACGACUAUCUACCUACAACUAUACUACUUGCAGAUCCGUCAAGGAUUCUAACCCCUGGCGACGACCCCUAAGCUCAGGAAACCAGGAGAAGGAGAACUUCCUGAGGGAAUGCAUCAGCUGGGUGGCAAGCUGGCAGUUCAGAAGAUGAUGGAGAAUGCAUGCAGUGGGCUGAAUGGAGAAUUCGUGAAUCAAAGGCAACACCAUCAAAAGCAUUAUGAAAUUAAGCACUAUCAGGUUGUCAAGGCUGUAGCUCAGCGGGCACAUGGUCCUGGAUACCUGAUUUUUUUUAACUAUUAUAUAUGGAAUCUCUAUGCACUCCAAGAAAUGCUGCAGUUCUUUGUGCCACAAGAGGCCAAGAAGCUGUACUACAAGAAGUUGAGGCAGAAGAUGAAGAUUAUUACAAAUUAUCCAAGUCAGUUCCGACUAGAGCCCGACAUAUAUAUCGGCAGGCCGAUAUUAUCGGCCGAUAUUAGGCAUUUUUCAAACUAUUCGGUAUCGGCAUUUAUAAUGGCCGAUAAAUGAAUAUAAAAAAAAAAAAAGGUUUGUCCACCAGAGGGCUCUAAUGCCCAAACCCGCUGAUUCAGCCAGAGUUAGGCAGAGUGAAUGACGGAGAUCGACGGAGAUCAUCGGUGUUGUUCAUGUGUGCAAGUGUGUUCAUGGUAAGUUGGCAACUGUCACGAGACAUACAUUGCUUGAAUAAAAAUUAAAAGAACAUCCCCAUCAAUUCUCUAAAGUUAGCUGAGAGUGAAAAGGAUUUAAAGGAUAACUACAAAUAACCAAUGUUAGGGAAAUUUGUUGGUUUUGUUGCGCGUUUCUGGAUUCUUUUUUUUAUAUAUAUAUAUAUCGGCCGAUAUAUCGGCAUAUCGGAUUUUUGAAUCACAAAAUAUUCGUAUCGGUAUCGGCCUUAAAAAUUCUAUAUCGGUCGGGCUCUAGUUCCGACCAAGUAAUUUGAUUGGACAAGAGGCAUUCCAGUGCUGAUAUAGAGUAUAACAGCACUGGGUCUUUUAACUAUACACGUAUCGCUCCGCUUUAUGGGUGUUCUCAUAACCGCCAAUGUUAUUAACAAUCUUUUUGUAGCUUAGAUUGCAGCUAACUUUGCACAGCAAAUAUGAACAUGUUUCCAGGAAUAACAUUAGAGUUGAAUUAAGAAUGGUCGCCAGAAGAGGACCAAGGGAACCUAAUGUAAUGCUAAUGUGUUUAUGUGUUGCUUGGCAACAGUUCAGUCCAGUUGCGGAUCUAUUUGUGUUUAGUGCUGUUGUACUGAAUAUCAGCACGGCUGUGAUUCUCUUCGGCACUCGGCCAACGGCCUCAUACCUACGACCGAAUCCCAGCCGUAGUACAACAGCACUCCCUCCUGAGUGAUAUUGCUUUUAUACAACAGUUCUACAAGCACCAAUCAUUAGUUAACAAUAAUAAUUAACAACAUAUUAUGAUCAGAUUUCUUUGGUUCAUUAAUGAUUUAUUAUAAAAAAUUUGAAUACGUUUCUGAAAGUAGUGCUUUGAGAUGUUUGAGAUAACAAACAUUUAAUAUGUUGGAAAUAUUUUUGGUCGCUGUGUCAUAAUUCAGCUUAAUAUUUAAUAUAUUGUUUCUUAUGGCACAUUAACGAGAAAAUGUCAAACUGGCACUGAAUGUUGAAAAGGUUGCUGACCCCUGGUUACUGUAUUCCCUCUCCCGCUCCAUUACAUGUAUGUUAGUUUAUUUCAAGUUAACUUGUUUUUCUGUGUUAUUACAACCUUGCAACACAUUUCCAUUAAUGUAGUUUGUUUAUUCCUUAACAGUUUUCAAAAAACAAUCAAAUGGGUAUUAAAACCUUAAUCUUUGUCAAGCCAAACUCUUGAGUAAUUAUUUCAAAGAAUUGGGGCGUGGAAAUCAAUGAGGUAAGUGGGCUUUGGGUCUUAUCUUAUGACUAACUUUGGAUCUGAACUAAUGUGAAUUGUGAGUAGAUUCCAUGGUGUUUACAUCGCUUUACUAGGAUUUCUAAAAAUCCGGAAACCGACUAUUUUAACCAACAAUCAACCCGUUUUCGACGCCCCAUUGCUGUCUGGGUUGCCUUCUGCAUAUUUCGUGCGUUGUCAUGAAGCACAACAUGCACAUUUUCUUUCGGUAUUUUCCACUGAGCAAACAUGCCGUCAAAUGCACUAGCUAUGGCAGUCCCCAGCAAAUUCUUGUGCAUGUAACACAGCUCUUCUCAUUUCAAAGUCGUCAUCAAUCCAUUGAGCAGUCAGGCUUAACAUACUCAUCUGACUGAUGUUGGAGGUCCAUAUAUCUGUCGUGAAGCUAAUGUCAUUCACACUGCUGUCCAAUAGGUUGUGGAUAUUUGUGGCUACCACUUCGUACAAAGCAGGGAGGGAAACGUCUGAAAAGUAACGGCGACUUGGAAGGCUGUAGCGGGGUUCAAUGUGCUCUAUCAGCUGACGAAAGCCUCGGUCCUCCACUAAGGAAAAUGGCUGGUCGUCAAGAGCCAUCAUUUCCAUUACCUUGUUCGUGAUUGACUUGGCCUUCGCGCUGUCCUUGGCAAAUUUCUUUGAUUGGUCGAAUGCUUGCUGUAUUGGGCUCCCGACUGCGGCUGCUGUGGUUUUCGUUUUGGGCUGCUUGCUAGCAACUUUAGCUUCCUGGCAUUGUAUGUGAACUUCUGGAUGGCGGGUUUUCAAAUGACUCAUUAAAUUGGUGGUGUUGAAUUAUUUCACACGGCAUCCUCCGCAUUACUUGGGCUUUGCAAGUAUUGCAUAUUGCAAUUCGAGUGUCUUCAAUUGAUACCGUAAAAAAUGUCCAAACCGCCGACAUUGAUUCUUUUUUCUAUUUAUUUUCUUUCAGAUUAUUUUCAGUUAACAAAACACAGGUAACAAACACGACUGUAUGCCUCUCCGUGCGUCUCUGCUGGCUGCGUCACUCGUAGACAUCUUAUAUGAUAGACGGAGCAUCGAAUGCUACCGCCUACUGGCGCUGACGAGACUAACAUCGGGCGAUAACAAUAUCCCUGCCGAUAUAUCGUGCAUCCCUAGCUAUAAUCAACAGCAGGCCACUAAGUGUUGAGCAUCUGUAUGAUCCUACCGGUCCAGAACCGCUUACUCCAAACCAUACUCCAUACCACCCUGAACACGCCAGAUCUCGUCUGAUCUCGGAAGCUAAGCAGGGUCGGGACUGGUAAGUACUUGGAUGGGAGACCGCCUGGGAAUACCAGGUGCUGUAAGUGGUGUCGGGUGGUGGCCAAUAGGUGGCACUCUUCCCUCUGGCCCCUUCACUCAUCAAUCCCAGUGCAGUGAUGGGGACACUGUGCUGUGGAAGGUGCCGUCCUUCGGAGGAGACGUAAAACCGAGGUCCUGACUCACUGUGGUCAUAAAAGAUCCCAGGACACUUAUCGCAAAGAGUAGGGGUUUCCCCGGUGUCCUGGCCCAACCAGGCUCAUUCAAUCUGGCCCCCUAAUAAUCCUCCUGUACAAUUGGGUGACUCAUCAAUACCCUCACUCUCCACCUCAAGCUGGUGUGUGGUGAGCGUUCUGGCGCAGAUUGGCUGCCGUGCAUCACCCAAGUGGGUGCUACACACUGCUGGUGGUGAGUUAGGUCCCCCCCUUCUGUAAGCGUCUUUGGGUCAUUGAAAAGCGCUAUAUAAAUAUAAUGAAUUAUUAAUUAUUAUUAUUAAUUAAUUUA